ensembl:lncRNA
AUGAAGACUCAGCGGCGAUUGGGCUCAUAUGAUCCACCAGCCUCCACUUCCUGCAGCCCCCUCUACCAAUGCUCUACCAACGCAACCUUGAACUCCCACCGACAACGAGGAACUGACCUGAGGGAGUUCGCCCUGGAGUUUUGUAGGGAAGCGGAGGGGCUGGGCUACAAUGACUCUUUUCUAAAGGACAUUUUUAACCUCAGCCUGGCCAAACCCCUACUGCAUUGGGAGAUGGAACUGCCAGAAUUUUGGGAUUUCUGGAACUUCUCCAGUUACUUGCAGCUCCGCAAGGAGGGAAAGGUAGUACACCACCACCAGACUCUACCUGCAGGGACUGUCCCAUCCCCACCUUCCUUGACAAGUCAAGUCCAGGACCCCUCUUCAACCCCCAUCGAGAAAGAGAAGGGCAGCAAGGUCCACUCCUGUCAGUCCAGAGACUCUUCACAAGAUGGCCACCACUCCAGAGUCUCAUCCCGACAUGGCUGCCACUCCAGAGACUCGUCCCAUCAUGACCGCCACUCCAGAGUCUCGUUCGGUCAUGGCCACCACACCAGUGUCUUGUUCCGUCAUGGCCCCCACUCCAGAGUCUUGUCUCUUCAUGGCUGGCUUUCCAGAGCCUCUCCACAGAAUAGCUGCCAGUCCAAACCUCUUCACAAGGUGGGCCCAAGGCUUUUAAAACUGGCUUCCAGUUUGGUGGACCCACAGCUGAGGUCUGUGCGAGCUGCUGGCAUCUCUAGACUGUUAACUUGUCCGGUGGUUCUGGAAGACCCAAAUCCUGUGGUCCCUUGUCCGGGGGUCCUGGAGGACCCGACUCUGGUGGUCUCAAGUCCAGUGGUCCUGGAGGACCCAAUUCUGGUGGUCUCAUGUCCGGUGGUCCUGGAGAAUCUGACUCUGGUGGUCUCAGAAGUCGCCACCGAGCUGCCCAAUUUCACUGCUGCAGCCAUAAUCAAGAAGGUUGUCUUUGCCUUUCACCUCAUGGCUGUUCUGCAUGCAUGGGCUGCUUCAGAGUCUACUCCUAAGCCCGCUCCAGUCCGGGAGCUCACAGAGUCCACUCAUGAACCCGCUCAAGUCCGGGAACCCCUUAGAGUCCACUCUAGAACCCACUCUAGUCCAGGAGCCCUCACGGUCCAUUCCAGAGUCUGCUCCAGUUCAGAUGCCCUCAGAGUCCACUCCAGAGUCUGCUCCAGUCCGGGAGCACUUAGAGUCCACUCACGAACCCGCUCCAGUUCAGGAGCCCGCUCCAGUCCAGGAGCCCUCAGAAUCCAAUCAAGAGCCCGCUCAAGUCUACGAAUUCAUUCCAGAAUUUGUUCCCAUCUACGAGUCCGCUCCAGAGCCUAA